UACGUAGGGUGCGAGCGUUGUCCGGAAUUAUUGGGCGUAAAGAGCUUGUAGGCGGUUUGUCGAGUCUGCUGUGAAAAUCCGGGGCUCAACCCUGGACUUGCAGUGGGUACGGGCAGACUAGAGUGUGGUAGGGGAGACUGGAAUUCCUGGUGUAGCGGUGAAAUGCGCAGAUAUCAGGAGGAACACCGAUGGCGAAGGCAGGUCUCUGGGCCACUACUGACGCUGAGGAGCGAAAGCAUGGGGAGCGAACAGGAUUAGA
rnacentral:rRNA from 1 species